GGAGCUCAGUUGGUAGAGCAUGGCUCUCUUAAGCUCGGAGGUCGUGGGUUAGAGCCCCAUGUUGGGUG